UAUAAGGGAAUUUGAGUUUUUGUUUGCAAUGUUUGACCACUCGUCUUAUUCAAAAAAUUUUGAAAUUAUUAUUUAUUUUAUUUGUGACUUACUUUAUUAUGUACAGUAUUUUAAGCACAACUUUUUGUUUUUUAUAUUUGCAAAAAAAGUUUGAAUAAGACGAGUGGUCAAACGUUGCAAACAAAAACUCAAAAUCCCUUGUAUC
rfam:Oryza nivara chromosome 3, whole genome shotgun sequence.